AGGAGGAUGACAUGCUGCACCUCUCGUCCGAUAGAGAGGCCCCUUUUCCCCCUCUUUUGUUGUGCUCUAGGCACGAUUGAUCAGGCCGCAAACUAGCUUGCCUCUAUCUAACUUGUGUGCCAUUAUUUUUCACCCUGGAAUUUGCCGUCUUGCUGCAUCAUAUUAAACUUAAUGCUCAAGAUGUACAUUAGCAGAUAAUUAACCAAGGAGAGCCACCCUCCAUCCCAGGCACCCUAUUGGAUCCUAACUCAGCAAUUGUGUGUAGCCUUGCAACGAGUUCAUCCUGGACUCAAAGGCCACCAUCGGUCAAGUUCCACACCAAGAAACCAUCGGACAGAUCUGGGACACCACGUGACAAGAAAAGGUUUGCAUGGAAGAGUUAAGAGGAUGAUUUGAGGACAGUGAGGCUCUCUGCCACCCCUACCAAUAGCCAUGAUGCGUGUGGAACACCCCUGCUUCCUGAUGACGCAAGGCUGGUGCUGCUCCCUUUAUUCAUUGAGUAUGGUUCUACUUGCACAAAAAUAAGAUGGAGUGCACGUCUGCACCUAGUGGCAUAUUAACCAACUUCCGUUGGUCCACACAAAGGUACUACACGAGUUUGCUGAUGGGAGACAGAGACAGCGGGCGGCAUGCUUGCUGGUGCUGCUGCCAUGCCCUACACUCUGCAGCCAAAAAACUU